GAAGACUAUCACUGGUCGCAUGCCAGUGCACCAACUCCGUAUGGACAAUGUCUAGAACCUUGAGUUUCUUGAAACCCCCUUCAUCUAGAUCCCAAUUGCUCCCCUGAAAAGCAAAAAGUUCUAGUUUGAGCGCCUCAAGGUUGGGUAAGUUACUAAGCAUAGUCAUCUCCGUCCAUAGUAGAUGUGUCUCUGCAAGUAUCAAGCUCUUGAGGUUUACUGGGAAAGCCUCAAGGUUGGGUAAGUUACUAAGCAUUGUCAUCUCCGUCCAUAGUAGAUGUGUCUCUGCAAGUAUCAAGCUCUUGAGGUUUGCUGGGAACACGUCAAAUGGUCGAGCACUCGGCUUUCA
rnacentral:lncRNA from 1 species